UGCCUGUAACUACAGCUUCAGGAGAUCC
rnacentral:piRNA from 1 species